rnacentral:SRP_RNA from 1 species
UGAAGUCUGCCCGAAGCACGUAGUGUUUGAAGAUUUCGGUCCUAUGCAAUAUGAACCCAUGAAUCAUGUCAGGUCCUGACGGAAGCAGCAUUAAGUGGAUCCUCAUAUGUGCCGUAGGGUAGCCGAGAUUUAGCUGUCGACUUCGGUAACGUUUAUGAAUUGUGUUCGAUUCAGAGGUGUGCGG